rnacentral:rRNA from 1 species
AAUCAACGCUGGCGGCGUGCCUCAGACAUGCAAGUCGAACGAUUAAGACUUCCUUCGGGAAGUGCAUAAAGUGGCGCACGGGUGAGUAACACGUAAGUAAUCUACCCUCGAGUGGGGAAUAACGUUCGGAAACGAACGCUAAUACCGCAUAAUGCAGCGGCAUCGCAAGAUGACAGUUGUUAAAGGAGUAAUUCGCUUGAGGAGGAGCUUGCGGCAGAUUAGCUAGUUGGUAAGGUAACGGCUUACCAAGGCUACGAUCUGUAUCCGGUCUAAGAGGACGGUCGGACACACUGACACUGAAUAACGGGUCAGACUCCUACGGGAGGCAGCAGUCGGGUAUUUUGGGCAAUGGGCGAAAGCCUGACCCAGCAACGCCGCGUGAAGGAUGAAGUAUUUCGGUAUGUAAACUUCGAAAGAAUGGGAAGAAUAAAUGACGGUACCAUUUAUAAGCUCCGGCUAACUACGUGCCAGCCGCCGCAGUAAUAC